UGCGGCGUGGUCUAGUGGCUAGGAUAUUUGGCUUUCACCCAGAAGGCCCGGGUUCGAUUCCCGGCGUCGGAA
rnacentral:tRNA from 1 species